rnacentral:rRNA from 1 species
AAUGAACGCUGGCGGCAGGCCUAACACAUGCAAGUCGAACGAGUGGCGGACGGGUGAGUAAUGUCUGGGAACCUGCCUGAUGGCGGGGGAUAACUACUGGAACCGGUACCUAAUCCCGCAAACCUUCCGCUGUGCACAGAUGGGAUUAGCUUUUUGGUGGGGUAACGGCUCACCAAGGCCACGAUCCCUAGCUGUUCUGAGAGGCUGACCGGCCACACUGGAACUGAGACACGGUCCAGACUCCUACGGGAGGCAGCAGUGGGGAAUAUUGCGCAAUUGGCGCAAGCCUGAUGCAGCCAUGCCGCGUGUGUGAAGAAGGUCUUCGGGUUGUAAAGUACUUUCAGCGGGGAGGCGUUACCCGCAGAAGAAGCACCGGCUAACUCCGUGCCAGCAGCCGCGGUAAUUC